rnacentral:lncRNA from 1 species
CUCCUUCUGGGUGAGCCUCUCUGAACCGGGCUGCCUCCUUCCGGGUGUGUCUCUCUGAACGGGGCUCACUCCUUCCAGACUACUGGUGCCUGGAUGAUCUGUACCGGGAGAUGGUGAGAUGCUAUGUGGAAAUCGUUGAGAAGCUUCCAGAACGCCGGCCAGACCCAGCUACCAUUGAAGGCUGUGCUCAGCUAAAGCCCAAUAACUACCUUCUCGCCUGGCACACACCGUUCAAUGAAAAAG